AAAAAUACCGCACUGAAACGUGAGAAUUAGGAACAUCCCAGAUGGAUGGUGGAAUAACUAGGAAAUUUUCGGAAUGGCAAUACCUUACGGACCAUCCCAGACAUGGAUGGUGGAUGGUCCCCAGUGUGAAAAGGCUAUUGGCUGAAAAGUAAAACGCAAAGUGAAAGUGAAAGCCGGAACCUGCUGAUUGACUUAAUUGGACGAAUGUGUCCUGUUGGAACCUUGCUAUUAAUCAGUUGGAUUAUUACUUAUUCAUUUUGUUUCUAGAUGAAAAAGGAUUAAAAAUUGCUUGUUAUAUGCGAAAUAAUAAAACGAGUCUAUGUUAUUUUAUUUGUGGCAAGAACAUUGCAUUGCCCAAACGCAGAAAAUCUAUGUAAUGUCUCGAGUUAUUAAAAAAUGACCAGUCCCGCUAUCACUUUGUCGAAGAAGAUACAUAUGUACAUAUAUUUUGAACGACUGAAUGUACCACCUCCUAAGAAUAUGUACAUAUCGCGGUGCAAGUUUCACAAUUUUGUGGAAUACCAUGUUUGACAUGUUUGUAAUAAAUUUAAUUUAUUUGCCUGAGUAAGACAUAAGAAUUCGAAUUGGAUUUGGCAAUUUUUUCUGUCUAGUUGCUUGAGAAUUAAGGGAUUUAAACAUACCUUUGUAAAUAAAUACAAAUGUAUGUAUGUACGAAUAUUUUUGAUAAAAAAUAUUUAAUUGGAUAUAUCUCUCCAUAUCCUCGCGUAACACCAUUUAUACAAGAUAAAAUUGAUACGAUUUACAAAGCACUUAUUUAUUUAAGUUUAUUAAUGGUACUUUUCACGUUUAUUUAUAUAAAUGACAUAUACUAUGUAAAACUAAUGUUCCGUAUCCCUAAAAUUAACAUUUAACGGUCAUGGUUUAAUUUUGAAUAAUCAUUACACCUACGAAUCUAAGAUGCUUACCAUAUAAAAGUAAUUAAAAUUUCUAGUUAGAGAUCUUUAUUUUUGUGUUUGUUGUUCUUUAUUAUAUUGGUUUUUUUUUUGAGAUUUUUUAACGAGAACUGACAGUAUUUGCCCAAAAUGUUUCUAUCAGUCGGUUUAAGAGGGCCCUAAUAGAGAGGCACCAUCAAGCGCAUGUUCGGCUCGGUGCACGAGUGCAUUUUACUUUCCUGUCGAAUUUUCAAGUUCUAGACUCGUCUGGCAAAGAGUCGUAUAAUUAACUAUCUAGCACAUUUAAACAUUUUUUUUAUUUACAGCAGCCUGCUCAAUUUUUUUCCUACUCAGACGCUGGCAUUAUUUGGGCCUGAGGUAUACAAAAUCCUUUUUUUUUGCGAAGCAUUGCAGUUAUAUUUCUGUUAUGUUACAUAAGACGUCAGAAUACGCUUAUGCACUUGUGUAUUUCAAGUGAAGCAUACGUGUAUGCGAUUAGAAAUGCCGGUCAAGAUCUUCUUAUCUCACAUAAUAAAAAAAAGCGAUGCUGUGGCUGAGCCUCUAUGCAUGCGUGAGUCGGCGCGGCUGAUUGCGGAUAUCUGUACGAAUGCGAAUGUCAAUCAACCAUUCUCGAUGACUUGUCCGGAUUGACUGUUGUUGCUGCUGCUGGUAUCGCCUGAUUGAUGUUGAAGCUGCUGCUGAUGAUGGUGCUGCUGAUAUAACGGUAGUUGAUGAAGCUGUAGCUGUUGUUGACUUGUUCCUACCGUGUCGGCCGACUGUAAUAUGCGUCGAGUACGAAGCUGGAUAGCACUUCCACUGCUUUCCGUCUCCGUUGAGGGUGGUGAGGGAUAGAAGUCCCUCUGACUUACACUUGUACCAUUUUGGACGACUGGCAAACCCAUUAUACAGUUGUUGCUGGCUGCCGCCGCCGUUGCCGCUGAAGAGGAUUGAGGAUCGCCGUGGUGCUGAUGCAGAUGCUGAUGGUGGAUAACGUUGCUCGUUGUAGCCCCUGACAUUGGUCCUACGCCGUUGUAUGGUUGGGAAUCCGACAUUGUUGCGGACUGCGGCUGGUCCAAUACCACGACGGAUACCACAUCUUCACUCGCCCACCGGGCUAACUGUUGUUGAGCUUGAAUAAAGUCAUCACUAGAAAAUAAUAAUCGUAACAGGAACAACGGUACAUGGUAAGAACGCAGGGGGCGCUAGCGGGAAAAAUGGACUAGGAUUGGUUUAGGUUGAGGGUAAGAUUGGAAAAAGAUUCCGGCUUAAACUGCGAAAAUUAGUUUUCUUGGUAUAUAAAUUAUACUUGUCUCUAUAAGAAGGUUCGAAAAAGAUGUAAAUAUUUGUAUGUAAAUAUGUAUGUACAUAUGUAUGUAUAUAUGUACACAUGUACAUAAAAUAGUG